rfam:Ovis aries breed Texel chromosome 16, whole genome shotgun sequence.
UCCCUGGUGGCUCAGACAGUAAAGCUUCUGCCUGCAGUGCAGGAGACCUGGGUUCGAUCCCUGGGUUGGGAA